rnacentral:snoRNA from 1 species
UUCAAGUGAUGAUUAUUCCAUAUUUGCUACUUCAGACGUUGCAUUUUGCUUCGAAUGAGACAUAUCUUUUAUCACCAAGAUCUCUGAUUGGA